rnacentral:rRNA from 1 species
CUGGCUCAGAACGAACGCUGGCGGCGCGUCUUAAGCAUGCAAGUCGAACGGCAAGAGGUAGCAAUACCUCCUAGAGUGGCGGACUGGUGAGUAACACGUGGGUGACAUACCCUUCAGAUGGGGAUAGCUAUUAGAAAUAGUAGAUAAUACCGAAUACGAGCACAGGGGUUAGAGAUCUGUGAGGAAAGGAGCUAAGGCUCCGCUGAAGGAAUGGCCUGCGGCCCAUUAGCUAGUGGUGAGGUAAGAGCCCACCAAGGCGAUGAUGGGUAUCCCGGCCUUAGAGGGUGAACGGACACAUUGGGACUGAGAUACGGCCCAGACUCCGUACGGGAGGCAGCAGCUAAGAAUAUUCCGCAAUGGACGAAAGUCUGACGGAGCGACGCCGCGUGGAUGAAGAAGGCCGGAAGGUUGUAAAAUCCUUUUGAAACUGAAGAAUAAGCGUUGUAGGGAAUGACAGCGUGGUGACAGUAGGUUUUGAAUAAGCAACGGCUAAUUACGUGCCAGCCGCCGC